AUUGAACGCUGGCGGAAUGCUUUACACAUGCAAGUCGAGCGGCAGCGCGGGGCAACCUGGCGGCGAGCGGCGAACGGGUGAGUAACAUAUCGGAACGUACCCAGUCGUGGGGGAUAACUAUCCGAAAGGAUAGCUAAUACCGCAUACGACCUGAGGGUGAAAGCGGGGGACCGAAAGGCCUCGCGCGAUUGGAGCGGCCGAUAUCGGAUUAGCUAGUUGGUGAGGUAAAGGCUCACCAAGGCGACGAUCCGUAGCUGGUCUGAGAGGACGACCAGCCACACUGGAACUGAGACACGGUCCAGACUCCUACGGGAGGCAGCAGUGGGGAAUUUUGGACAAUGGGGGCAACCCUGAUCCAGCCAUUCCGCGUGAGUGAAGAAGGC
rnacentral:rRNA from 1 species